CUCUUGCAAAUAAUGAUGCGUUCCAGUUCUAGUCGAGUUGCAACGAUGAACUGGAAAUGUUAGAUAAAAUCCGACUUCCUUCUGGAAGAGCAGGAGCAACUGCAACUACACUCCAGUUACGACUGGUAAGGCUGACUGUGUGUUUCAACAUGGCCGCUCCUCGCCUCAACAAUACUGUUGCACAUCUCACACGGUUCCAGUCCAGUGACCUUCACCACAGUGUUUAUGCUUUUUCUCAGUCAUCAGAGAAUCAACAGAGUUUUCAUAUCUCCCUGAUGUCCCCUCUAUGUUGCCUCCAGUGUUGCUGGCAUAAGUAUCGACCAUCAUGUCAAACCAGUGCAGUGAGAUUCAACCAUUAGGGGAAUUGGUACAUUCUUUUAUAAUAAAAUAGAAAUAAAAUACGGGUACAGGGCAAAACACGUACACGUAUUUUCAACCAUUUUUUGUAGAAAGAAAAAAAAGCUGCUACUUCGGAGGAGAUAAUAUAAAAUAAAUCAUAAAAACUCUUGAAUGAAGCAUUAACUCGUUUAACUCUGAACCGAGUAAAUGCACAGACUGGCUUUGGGCCUGUGGUGCACCUUCAGCUGCAGCGGAGGAAGUGGGUGGAUGUUUUUGCUUGGCUCCUGGGGGACAGUCAAAGCCAGCAAGCCAUACUUCCAAAUGUACAUGACUGCUCUCACUGCUUUAAGAUCUCUGCUUCUCCUUUGAGUCCACGCAUGACCUUCCACCCCCCACCACUGAAAUCAAUGGGCCCUUUCACUGAUUGCCCCUCAUAAUGACCCCCUGUUUGAGUCCAGAGUUAUCCAGGGAGCUGGAAGAAGAAACAAUUUCAUUCUGCAGCUUAUCUGUCGAGCACGUUGGAGACAUAAAGUAACAACACGAUGGAACUUUAUAUUUUAUUAUCUUGUGAAGAGUGCUACAGUAUGUGUAGUUUCCAGGCUGUUCCAAGCAGUAUGUCACUUUUACAAAUUUAAUUUUGUUCUUAAACAUAUUGUUGAAACUGUCACUAUGCCGUGACAGAUUGGAAUGAUUUAGAUAAUAUGUGGGGGGGGGGAAAUGGAGUUUCUCUGCCUUCUCCCAGUGCAAUAAGAAACAACCAAUCAGAGCCGGUGUUGGUGGUGGGGGGAGGGGUGUUAGCGCUGUCAAUCACCCCUAUGUACCUGAAACGGAAUAAAGUGGAAUUAAAUUUCUAUUUUAUUUUUUAAAACAAAAAUACAUUUUUAAAAAGUGCUGAAGAUUGAACAUUUAAAUGUUGACUGCAUGUGUAAAGUGCAUUUGUAAGCAAAAUUUUGUACUAAAAUGACCUUACAAAGACAGUAAAUAUUUUUGCUCCGAAA